rnacentral:rRNA from 1 species
UGACCUCGGAUCAGGUAGGGAUACCCGCUGAACUUAAGCAUAUCAAUAAGCGGAGGAAAGGUAGGGAUACCCGCUGAACUUAAGCAUAUCAAUAAGCGGAGGAACGUGUCAGGAGAGGACGCCUCACCAUCGACGAGGAUGCUGGCGCUGAUUCGGUGCAGAUGACCUUGAGGAGCAAAACAAGUUCUUGGUUAGGUCUGCCACUAAGUGCUUCGAUGAUAUAAUAAAGCAUCUGAUCCCCGCCUAUGCGCGCAGUAUGGAGUUGGGUGUCUUUCACUGCAUACCCUGGAAGACCAUAUCCCCCAGCCCUGGGGUUGUGUCCCGGCAGACACCUUUCAAGGUUGGCGGCGAGACGCGCUUUUCCAUUUCGGGGCUCACCCUCCUCUCGCCGUAUUGGGGACUCGUGCUAGAAAGGCGGAACCCUUCGUACUCUUUUUUCAAGGUAUAUAUU